AUACGUAGGUGACAAGCGUUAUCCGGAUUUACUGGGCGUAAAGGGCGUGUAGGCGGUCUUGCAAGUCAGAAGUGAAAUUCCUGAGCUCAACUUGGGCGCUGCUUCUGAAACUGCUUUACUUGAGUGCUGGAGAGGAUAGUGGAAUUCCUAGUGUAGCGGUAAAAUGCGCAGAUAUUAGGAGGAACACCGGUGGCGAAGGCGGCUAUCUGGACAGUAACUGACGCUGAGGCGCGAAAGCACGGGGAGCAAACAGGAUUAGAUACCCUGGUAGUCCGUGCCGUAAACGAUGAAUACUAGGUGUAGGGGGUAUCGACUCCCUCUGUGCCGCAGUUAACACAUUAAGUAUUCCACCUGGGGAGUACGGCCGCAAGGUUGAAACUCAAAUGAAUUGACGGGG
rnacentral:rRNA from 1 species